GCCGGGGUAGCUCAAUCGGUAGAGCGUGUGGCUCUUAAUAAAGUCAACCUCAAGGUCGCGGGUUCGAGCCCCGCCUUCGGCU
rnacentral:tRNA from 1 species